AGUGAACGCUGGCGGUAGGCCUAACACAUGCAAGUCGAACGGCAGCACAGUAAGAGCUUGCUCUUACGGGUGGCGAGUGGCGGACGGGUGAGGAAUACAUCGGAAUCUACUUUUGUGGGGGAUAACGUAGGGAAACUUACGCUAAUACCGCAUACGACCUACGGGUGAAAGCAGGGGAUCUUCGGACCUUGCGCGAUUGAAUGAGCCGAUGUCGGAUUAGCUAGUUGGCGGGGUAAAGGCCCACCAAGGCGACGAUCCGUAGCUGGUCUGAGAGGAUGAUCAGCCACACUGGAACUGAGACACGGUCCAGACUCCUACGGGAGGCAGCAGUGGGGAAUAUUGGACAAUGGGCGCAAGCCUGAUCCAGCCAUACCGCGUGGGUGAAGAAGGCCUUCGGGUUGUAAAGCCCUUUUGUUGGGAAAGAAAAGCAGCAGGUUAAUACCCCGCUGUUCUGACGGUACCCAAAGAAUAAGCACCGGCUAACUUCGUG
rnacentral:rRNA from 1 species